GGUAAUUGCCUGUGGGUAACGGCCGGAGUGUUUUAGCUGUUUUUAAACAACCGCAUAAAUUCGUCAAAUAUUGUAAAUUCGCGCUUUUUUUUCGCUACCCACCAGUAAAAUCGCGUUGACAAAGGUGUCGCAGUUCUUGAACGAUAAUUCGACGACUUGGGAGGGCUCGGAGUCGGUGCACGUCGGGAUCGCGGAGUGCGACGUGUGUUGAGGGCCACCUGUUUUGGUGCAGUGAUAUCUGCAGCUGGGCCAUAAAGGUUCCGGGGGACUUUGUGAACUUAGCUACAUGGACGUCUGUCGGAGCGCAACAUGGUGGAACAAGGUUACGUGCAUGCGCCGCCGAAUCUUGCCGGAUUCGCAUCGGGAUGACGCGGUCGUCACAUAGCCUACAGUGAAGGUUUUGCUCGGAGCUGUAUUGAGG